CUCAGCUUGAUGUAGGUGCCGAGGCUAUAUGACUGAGUCACUCAGCUUGAUGUAGGUGCCGAGGCUAUAUGACUGAGUCACUCAGCUUUAUGUAGGUGCCGAGGCUAUAUGACUGAGUCACUCAGCUUUAUGUAGGUGCCGAGGCUAUUUGACUGAGUCACUCAGCUUUAUGUAGAUGCCGAGGCUAUAUGACUGAGUCACUCAGCUUUAUGUAGGUGCCGAGGCUAUAUGACUGAGUCACUCAGCUUUAUGUAGGUGCCGAGGCUAUAUGACUGAGUCACUCAGCUUUAUGUAGGUGCCGAGGCUAUAUGACUGAGUCACUCAGCUUUAUGUAGGUGCCGAGGCUAUAUGACUGAGUCACUCAGCUUGAUGUAGGUGCCGAGGCUAUAUGACUGAGUCACUCAGCUUUAUGUAGGUGCCGAGGCUAUAUGACUGAGUCACUCAGCUUUAUGUAGGUGCCGAGGCUAUAUGACUGAGUCACUCAGCUUGAUGUAGGUGCCGAGGCUAUAUGAGUGAGUCACUCAGCUUUAUGUAGGUGCCGAGGCUAUAUGACUGAGUCACUCAGCUUUAUGUAGGUGCCGAGGCUAUAUGACUGAGUCACUCAGCUUGAUGUAGGUGCCGAGGCUAUAUGACUGAGUCACUCAGCUUUAUGUAGGUGCCGAGGCUAUAUGACUGAGUCACUCAGCUUUAUGUAGGUGCCGAGGCUAUAUGACUGAGUCACUCAGCUUUAUGUAGGUGCCGAGGCUAUAUGACUGAGUCACUCAGCUUGAUGUAGGUGCCGAGGCUAUAUGACUGAGUCACUCAGCUUUAUGUAGGUGCCGAGGCUAUAUGACUGAGUCACUCAGCUUGAUGUAGGUGCCGAGGCUAUAUGACUGAGUCACUCAGCUUUAUGUAGGUGCCGAGGCUAUAUGACUGAGUCACUCAGCUUUAUGUAGGUGCCGAGGCUAUAUGACUGAGUCACUCAGCUUGAUGUAGGUGCCGAGGCUAUAUGACUGAGUCACUCAGCUUUAUGUAGGUGCCGAGGCUAUAUGACUGAGUCACUCAGCUUUAUGUAGGUGCCGAGGCUAUAUGACUGAGUCACUCAGCUUUAUGUAGGUGCCGAGGCUAUAUGACUGAGUCACUCAGCU